AUUGAACGCUGGCGGAAUGCUUUACACAUGCAAGUCGAACGGCAGCACGGGUGCUUGCACCUGGUGGCGAGUGGCGAACGGGUGAGUAAUACAUCGGAACGUACCCAGUCGUUGGGGAUAACGUAGCGAAAGUUACGCUAAUACCGCAUACGUCCUGCGGGAGAAAGCGGGGGACCGUAAGGCCUCGCGCGAUUGGAGCGGCCGAUGGCGGAUUAGCUAGUGGGGGGGGUAAAGGCCAACCAAGGCGACGAUCCGUAGCGGGUCUGGUGAGACGACCAGCCACACUGGAACUGAGACACGGUCCAAACUCCUACGGGAGGCAGCAGUGAGGAAUUUUGGACAAUGGGAGAAAGCCUGAUCCAGCCAUUCCGCGUGAGUGAAGAAGGCCUUCGGGUUGUAAAGCUCUUUCGUCAGGGAAGAAACUGCUUGGGAUAAUACCCCGGGCUAAUGACGGUACCUGAAGAAGAAGCACCGGCUUACCACGUGCCAGCCGCCGCCGUAA
rnacentral:rRNA from 1 species